ACUGCUGCCCCUGUGGUCAGUGUCCAGCUGGACAGGGAGAGAAGAGGAUAGUUUGGGAAUACAGAGCUGGCCAGGAGCCUCUACACACAAGCUCGAGAGUUUCCCUGCUUCUUCAGCAGCCCCGUGGUGCUGAGGAUUUUCCCAAACGAUUCUUAUUUCCCCUUUCUCCGCUACCAGACUUUUCUUUUCUACCAAAUCAUGGAGAGGAGAGCCCCGAGCCAGCCCAGGGUGGCCUGGGAGGAGGACGGGGGUCCCCAGGAAAGCAGCUCCCCAGUGGAGCCCUACGAGGUGACAAUGGUGCAGCCCCUGCAGACGGCAACCAACCAAUGAAGCAACACGUGAGACAUGAAUCUCUCCAUCCCAUAGAAGAGAAAUGCACUACAGUUUGUCAGCAGCUGUUCUCAUUCAGAUUGGCUGAAAGGAAGGAAGAAGGAAGAAAGUAAGUUGCAUUCAUGUUACUCUUUCACAAGCACACUGUGCAGAAAUCGUCCAUAGCAAACAGGUCAGUGCUAUUUACUCCAGAAAUAAUUAUAACAAAAGUCAGCAUGCCAAGCAAGAACAUAAACAUGGCUGCAGAAUUCUGUGAGAAAUGUAAUAACUCAUAUGGAUUACUAAUACUAUGCUCUUGUAUUAAAAUGAUUACUCAGUAACAUCUCAUAGUGAGCAAGAGGCAUAGUGUAUUUUUAGAUAAAUCUCAUCCUCUCCAUCAAAAAACCAAAAUUUAAGAAAAUCAUCACUGUAUGUUUUAUACAGCUUUAAAAUACAGUCUUUGUCUAACAUCCCAAAGGAACGGUCACGUAUGUACCCACCAGGACAUGAGCAAUUAGUUUUUAAAAAGAGGUGUGGAUCAUCAGGCCAGCUGGCAGCAAAACCAGCAAUUUGGUAAUAAUGAUCUUUGCGAUUUUUAUGAAAAAAUAGUAGAGUACCCGCUCAGUGGUAUGAACUAAGAACACAAAAUUCCAAAGGACUGACUGCUGAACUAGCAGUUAGGAAGGAAGGUCCAGUGAUGGCCACGUUGUCCCAUAGGGCUUGUCACUGCUCAACCUCUUGAGAUCCCUUUUACUCCCCCCAUGGCUACGAUCUUAAAAGUAAAGUAUUUCUACAAAGAACAAAGUGUGUUUAUGAGUAGACUCCAUGAAACGGUAGUAGCCUCAUGAUCAAUGUUUGAAAUUGGAAACUGCGUGCUGCACUUUCACCGCUCUGCUUCUGAAAUCUGCGCUCCCAUUUACGGCUGGCUGAAGGUGCAGGGAGACACUGUGGUUUUAUGGCUUGGAUUUACAAACCAUCCUGAGCAAAGCCAGAAAUUACACUUCUGCUCACAGAUGUGUAUUCAUCAAAGGCUGCACCAGAAGAUUUUCUAUCCAAAUUAGAUUAUUUACUGGGGAGCCACCGGGAACCCCGGAGCCAAGGGCCCCUCUGGCAAGGACGGGAUCCCCGGGCACUCCGGGCAGAGAGGAGACGCCGUGAGUGACCCAAAAAGGCCAAAAUUCACCCCAAAAAUCCCCAAAUCUGCCCCAAAAUCCUCCCCAAAAUUCCCUCAAAAUCCCCUAAAAUUCUCCCCAAAAUCUUCCCAAAAUUCUCCCCAAAAAUCCCCACAAAAUCCUUUCAGAAUCCCUCCCCAAAAUCCCAAAAAUCCUCCCCAAAAUCCCCGAAAAAUCCCCCCAAAAAUCCUUCCCAAAAUCCUCCCAAUUCCCCCAAAAUCCUCCCCCAAAAUCCCCCCAAAAAUCCUCCCCAAAAACCCCAAAAAUCCUCCAAAAUCACCCCAAAAAUCCUUCCCAAAAUCCUCCAAAAUGCCCCCAAAAUCCUCCUCCAAAUCCUCCCAAAAAAUCUUCCCAAAAUCUUCCCCAAAUUCCCCAAAACCCCCCCAAAAUCCUCCCAAAAUCCUCCCAAAAUCCUCCCAAAAAUCCUCCCAAAAUCCCAAAAAUUCUCCCCAAAAUCCUCCCCAAAAUCUUCUCAAAAUCCCCCCAAAUUCCCUUGAAAAUCCCCCAAAAAUCCACCAAAAUUCCCCAAAAUUCCCUCAAAAUUCUCUCCAAAUUCCCCCCAAAAUCCCACAAAUCUUCCCCAAAAUCCUCCCCAAAAAUGCCCCCAAAAUCUCAAAAAUUCUCCCCAAAAUUCCCCCGAAAUCCUCCCCAAAAAUCCCCAAAUCCCACCAAAAGACCCCAAAAAUCCUCACCAAAAUUCCCACCAAAAUUUUCCCCAAAAUUUUCCCCAAAAUUCCCCAAAAAUCCUUCCCAAAAUCCUGCCCAAAAAUCCUCCAAAACCCAAAAAAUUCUCCCAAAGUGCCCCAAAAAAUCCUCCCCAAAUUCCCCAAAAAUUCACCCAAAAAAUUCCCCCAAAAAAUGCAAAUCCCCCCAAAAUAUUCCCCAAAAAUUCCCCUAAAUCCUCCCCAAAAUCCUCCCCAACAACCUAAAAAAUUUCCCCUAAAUUCCCCCAAAAUUCCCCAAAAUCUCCCAAAUCUUCUCCAAAAAUCCCCCCAAAAUCCCCCCCAAAAAUCAUCCCCAAAAUCCCCCAAAAAUCCUCCCAAAAUCCUCCCCAAAACCCCAAAAAUUUUCCUCAAAAUCCUUUCCAAAAUCCUCCCAAAAAUCUUCUCAAAAUUCCCCCAAAUUUCCUUGAAAAUCCCCCAAAACUCCCAAAAUUCCCCCCAAAAAUCAACCAAAAUCCCCCAAAAAUCAGUCCCCAAAAUCCUCCCCAAAAUUCCCCCAAAACCCCAAAAUCUUCCCCAAAAAUUCCCCUCAAAUCCUCCCCAAAACCCAAAAAAUUCUCCCCAAAAUUCCCCCAAAAUUCCCCCAAAAUUCCCCAAAAUCCUCCCCCAAAAUCUGCCAAAAAAUCCUCCCAAAAUCCACCCCAAAAAUUCUCCCCAAAAUCCUCUCCAAAAUCCCCAAAUCCAGCCCAAGAAUCCCCCAAAUCCACUCCAAAAAUCCACCCCAAAAAUCCCCCAAAUCCACCCCAAAAAUCCCCUCCAAAAAUUGCCCCAAAUCCACCCCAAAAAUUCCCAAAUCCACUCCACAAAAUGCCCCAAAUCCACCCCAAAAAUCCCCCAAAUCCACCCCAAAAAUCCCCCAAAUCCUCCCCAAAAAUGCCCCAAAAAUUCCCAAAAUCCACCCCAAAAUCCCCCAAACCCACUGCAAAAAUGCCCCAAACCCACCCCAAAAAAUCCCCAAAAUCCACCCCAAAAAUCCCCAAAUAUGCCCCAAAUCCACCUAAAAAAUUCCUCAAAAUCCAUCCCAAAAAUCCAGCCAAAAAAUGCCCCAAAUCCACCCCAAAAAUCCACCCCAAAAUCCCCCAAAUCCACCCCAAAAA